rnacentral:tRNA from 1 species
GCCGGGGUGAGGUAGCCUGGUUAGCCUACAGGCCUGUGGAGCCUGGCGCCCGGGUUCAAAUCCCGGCCCCGGCCCCA